UCUAUCCAGUAUUUGGAAACAAACAAAAAAAGGGUUUCAGCGCCAAAAGAAAGGCUGUUUGUGUAAAAGGAGAAGGAAGAGUAAAAAAAAAAACGCAAACAGUGUGCGACUUACAAACAUUGUAUGAACAACGGACAUUACACUAGAACCCUUCUAUAAUCUGAAAGAUCACUCGCAGGAGAACUGAAGGAGAAAACUGGAGACAGUGAGUCCAUCCCUGAUAAACAGAAAAAAAAAGUACUACAGCAAUCAGAACAUGAAAAAGCAAAGAAGUAUGCAAGAGGCUAGAGAAGCAGCAACUUUAUGCAGCGCAAAGAUCACAGUAAAGAUGAAGAUGCCAGACAAGUACAGAGCAUCCAAGUACAGCAGGCAAUAUUAACAAAGUGAGAGAGGGAGGGUGCAGUGGCAGUGGUGAGACAGAGAGAGAGUAUGUGUAUUUGCUUGUGCAUAAAUAUAUGCACAAGCGUGCAUGCCGGUAAGAAGUCUUUUUGACACUUCUUUUAAAUGGAAAUUUGGUGGACAGGGUAGCUAACAAAAAACACUAAAUAAAUACUACAGGUACAAAUUUUACUUACAUAAAAUACUGCAGAAAGUUACUAUGGAUUAAAUCUUUCUGCUAAAUCAGUAAAACGACUAUGCUUUGAUGUGUUAACCUGUUAAUAGUAUCAACUUCUCUCCUAUAUCAAGGGUCCAAGAAUUCACAGAUGGCUGUAGCUUGUUUAUAUAACAGUUACCAUGUAAAGAAAUUAAUGCAUAUUAAAAUCUUGAACAGAUCAGCUGAAAAGUCAAAACUGAAAAAUGUGAUAGAGGCUAUUCUUGGACCCGUGCUGACUUUUAGUAAAGGCAGACUAAUUGCAAAGGGUUAAUGAGAUCAGAAAUGCAGGAUAUAUUCAGACAAAGGUGAGCAGA